GAUUUACUGUCACACGCUAAAUGAGUACUGGAGCUUUGGAGCCUGGAAAUAACGAGUGAAGUUUAAAGCUGAUUGAGGAGGGAUGUCGGUACGGUAGAACUACUGGGUACAACCAGUAGAAGAGAGUAGCGUUGCGACGAGAUUGUGUCUGUUUUGUUGGAACUUGGUCGAAAUAGGAAAAUGGGAGUAUACAUGAACACGGUACACUUGCUACGUCACUGAACAUAUAACUAGUUUAGCGCAAUCGCGGGUAUCGCGCAGUCGCGCGACUUCGCCCAUCGAACGAAAAUUGUUCGCGUUUCGUUUGCUGGCCAUGAAUUACAUCAUGGAUAUCUAAUAGAAAAAUUAAGUAAUUGUAAUGUCUACUCUAUAUCUACUGCAGAUUAUAACAAUUAUAAUAAACAUGUUAGGAAUAUCUUAGAAUAGAGGAAAUAUCGUUACAGCGAAACAAAUUGAAUCAGAUUGUGCAAACAUUAGUUACAUGGUUUUUAGUUAAAUAAAA